GUAGCCAAGCCAACAGCCAAUGUGACACAGAAAAGGCCAUUGAAGAGGGACGGGGAUGGAAUCUCGGCCGUAGAGUACAUGUGUAGUACCAGGCUGACUCUCCAACGCACUAAAAACAGAACACAGCAGAGCAAGCCGACAUGACAAGGACUCAAGAGAGGUUUCCAGCAGAGCGAGGACUAUGCGCAGCUGACUUUGGUGGCCUCGGUACAGUCGUCCCUUCUCCCGUCUGGAUUUGGCUGCAAUGCUGGAAUUAUGAACAAGGUAAGAGUCCUGAUGAUCCUCCUUACUCAUGAAGAAACUCAAGCUCUGAGCCUUCCGUUACCUGUGAAGUGGCUACAACUGACGUCAGAGCUGUCAGAUGCUGAGUUCUUUCCUCUACACAUCCCACGGCCACACAAGAAGAUACAGGCAGUGUCUUCCCACAGGAUGGGAGGUCCUGGUCCAGCAAGAAGACCGGAUAGCAGUGCAGGUCCUGUCUCCAAGAAGACUCCUUAUCUGAUUUGGAUGAGACUUCCCUGUAGGGGACACACCAUCAAGCAUGGUCAACUCUAGACCCUGUAAGUAGGAUUGUUGUCUGUAAAUCUGAACUCAACUUUCCAGUAUGAGGGGAAACUUUUUCUUCAAUUUCAGGCCCUUCUUUGCCUGAGACCUUCAUGUCUUUACAGUGUCCCCUCAAAACCCCUCUCAAGAGCUUGCUUGCUCUUUCCUGGCCAAAAGAUUCCAAAAGUCCCAAAUGACCAGUUUAAAGAAAAUUCAGUAGCCCUGCUAAUUGUGAAGAGAUGGCGUGCCGGCAAGAAGCCUUUACACACUGAUGCCUUUCAAUGGGGGCAGUUCCACAGCUGCUGACCACACUUCUCCAAUCCAAAGAAGAAUUGAAGGUUUCCAGUUUUGAAUCUGAUUUUAGACGACAGAAAUUUACUGCUGUAUGGUCUGAAAGCUGGAGGUCUGGAAUCCAGGUGUGGGUAAGGCUGUGCUCCCCUGAUGCCUGAGGUGACGGCUACCUUGCCUCUUUUGGCCUUUGAUGGGUAUGCAACAUCUCUUGGUUCCCAGCUGUACCACACACACCUCUGCCUUUGUUGUCAGAUGGCCUUCGUACUGUGUCUCUCUUCCCAUGCCACCCUUUAAGGCCACCACUUCCCCCGAAUCCAUGGCUGACUACUUCAAUGUGACCUGUGUUAACUAAUUCUUCAGUGGUUUCUAAACACGUGGUUAAUUUGCUCACUACAAUCCCUAAUAUCUAGAAAAGCACGGGCUCUAAGCACCGAUGGGUGAAUGUAUACAGGAGUGAGCGAGCGCUAACAAUAGCUAUGACCGCAAGCCGUAAUCCCAGUCUCCCGAUUUGGUGCCUGUGUGGUGGCUGUGUGCCAGGUUCAGCAUGGCUCAGCUACUUGCUCUUUGGCUGAUAAAUACCUUGUGUGUGUGUGAGGGGUGGGGGGAGCUUCCUGACUCACAUCUGCCCUACUUUUGCAAAGAAGCCACUCAUUUAGCCAGCAGACGCUGCUCCUGCGUUGCUCCAGUCCUGCAGAAUUGCCCCCACUCUGCUGCGCCAUUUCCAGACCCUUCCUGUCCCUCGCUCCCCUCUGUGGCUGUUUUUCAAGCCCCUCUCUCCUGCCUUAUGACAUGACCACAGAAAACCACUUGCCUCCCCGCUUCCCCUACCCUUGGCCUUUGGUGUAAGCAGUGCUGGAGGGACCUUGUUUCUUCCCCUGUGUGUGUGUGUGUGUGUGUGUGUGUGUGUGUGCUGGAGGGACCUUGUUUUUUUGACCUCAGGUAACUCCCAUUCUGACUUUAGACAACUCUUAUCUUCUCCCUUCAUUUUUCCUAACACUUGGGUUAGACCAAGAUUUCUCCUUCCGCGGACACUGGAACACUUGUCUGAAUUUGAAUUGCUAGUUUAAGGAUCAGGUAAGUGGGAAAGAGCUGUCCCGGUUAGAAAUGGCUGCUGUGGAAGGAGGAGUGUGUGUGUGCGUGUGUGCGUGUGUGUGUGUGUGUGUGUGUGCACGUGUGCAUGUGUGUGUGUGCAUGUGUGUGUGCGUGAACAUGUUUUGUGUGUGUGUGUGUGUGUGUGUGUGUGUGUGUGAAUGGAGGGGAUGUCCUAAAGCUUUACCCUCCCUGAGGUAAUUCUUUUUCUCUCCUAGGUCUGGUCUUCUCCUUCUCCAUGAAGUCCUGGCCUGUUUCUGCUCACCAGACCAUGCAAUUUAGCCUACUGUCCUGGAAACUCGAAGCAAGAAGGAACUCCUCCCUCCUUCUUCCUUCUUCCUUCUGAGAGAGAGAGAGAAAAAAAACAGAGAGAGAACAGAGAGAGAGAAGACAGAGAGAUUAGGAAAUGGCUACUGAGUUUGGACAGAGAUUGACACCCUCUCCAGGAAGUCCAGGCUGUCUUCCUGCUCACCAGCCCUUCAGCCAUGCGGAAAGGAGGUGCCAUGAAUGCUCCCCAACCCGCAGUCAUAUUUGCUGAAGCGGUGAGCCGCGGUUCCCAGCUGCCUCUCCACACAGGAACAAACAGCUCUCUAUGCAUAGUUCUGAGCCCUGGACUUGAGAAUCCCCUAAAGAAUGUUAAGGGGGUUUAGAAUUUCUUAGCAGAAACUGCCUUUGGAUAAAGAAAGUGGGAGGUGUCAACAUUUUACCCUGGCCUUUUGGGUCUAAAGAAUAAAGGCCUGUUCCUCACUAGAA